rnacentral:tRNA from 1 species
CGCAUAGCUCAGUUGGUUAGAGCAAUUCCCUUACAAGGAAUAGGCCGGGGGUUCGAGUCCCUCUGCGCCC